UACAGAGGUCUCAAGCGUUGUUCGGAUUCAUUGGGCGCAAAGGGUGCGUAGGUGGCGGGGUAAGUCAGGUGUGAAAUCUCGGGGCUCAACCCCGAAACUGCACUUGAUACUGCCUUGCUCGAGUACUGGAGAGGAGAUUGGAAUUUACGGUGUAGCAGUGAAAUGCGUAGAUAUCGUAAGGAAGACCAGUGGCGAAGGCGAAUCUCUGGACAGUUACUGACACUGAGGCACGAAGGCCAGGGGAGCAAACGGG
rnacentral:rRNA from 1 species